rnacentral:tRNA from 1 species
GGCAAGAUGGCCGAGUUGGUUAUGGCGCCAGGUUAAGGUUACCUUAAUACAUUUCCUGGUGGGGCAACCCUCGUGGGUUCAAAUCCCACUCUUGUCA